UUCACGCGCGACAGAAAGGAAGAGGGAGACGCGUGGAAGGGUGCGCGCGCCCGCCAGAGAAUGAGAGCAGCUGGGUUCCCCGCGUGCGCGCUCAUCCAGGUUCUGAGGAGAACUUUUUUUUUUCCGGCCCAAAACGACUACAAACACAAACACGCUAAUUUAAAGACUACAAAAUGGAUCAUUCUGAGCCAAACGGAAGGGUUAAUAAGCACAGGCUAUAGUGCUAAUGGAGUAAUACUGAAUCUCACUCCACCCCCUUAGGAUGCGAGGGAAGGAUGCAAGGAUGAGAUGCGAGGAGAGAGGAACCAAAGCAAGUCGAAUGGAAUAUCCUCGCUCUCUCAAGUGUCACUUCAAAGCGACGUCCAUUGCUGUUGUCUGUGCUCACACAGAUGACCUCACUGCGCUUCAGGGAUCUGCCGUUAUGUUGUCAGAGUUUGGUUAAUAACAACAUUCUUAAUAAAGCAAAAUGCACUGAUAGUAUGUGAAAUAUCUGGGUUAUUCAACAAUUAAUUAAUGAACGAUACAUCAUUUAUUGUAUCUUUUGUGCAGCUUUGCCUAUCCAAACAUGCAAGGAUCAAUUAAUUACAAUACUCAUAAUUGUAUUUAUAUUAAUUGUACAUAUAUUAUUAUUAUUAUUGAAUUAUAUUUCACACAAAAUUCCAUCACAUCAUUAAAGGAAUUUUUGUUUGAGAUUGCGGCAGAUGUAAAGGAAGAGGGGAAUUUAUACGUGCGUCAGGUUUUUGGACAAGAAACUCUUCUGCAUAGGAUACACCUGUGUAUCCUCGCUCCUAGCUCCUCUGGAAGCUUCCUCAUUCCUCAUUCCUCAUUCCUCAGUCCUCAUGGUGCAAUUAGACAACUGAUAUGUCCUUCAAGGUGGUUGACAUCAAUCAAUUUCAGGGACACAGGCUGGAGGACUGAGGAGCGAGGAAACGAGGAAGCAUCAAUUUGAGUAUUGAGAAGCACCCCUGGAAAGGCUCCGGAUUAAAGGUGAACCGAUUGAUCGUUUUUUACGAUUAAUUGGCACCGAGAACAGGUCGCUGGAACUAUCAGUUAUCGUUAUCGGCAAAAAUCCACACAGAUAGUUUUUCUCAGUUGCCUCUGUUGCAGGAGGGGCUGCGAAGGGUCCGCUGGUGAAACGAAAACUAUCACUGACAAAUUUUGUCGUGUUAUUUGAAGCGUUUUUUUUAAAAUUAUUAUUCAUUUUGGAUGUCUCGAUUUUUAUUUAUUUGGAGUGGUACUUUUUUUGUUCAGUUUGGACGUAUACAUUUUAUUUACUUUAAUAUUUAUAGAUUAAUAUUUAGAUAUUUAUACCACUUAAAAAAGUACAGCACAUUCUCAUGGUACAGUCAGUACUGUUUAUUUUUGUAAUAAAGUUCAGCAACAUUUCACUUUGACUGUUACGUUUUCAUUCAGUAUCAAUUUUAAAAACUAUCGGUCGAUAAAUUCAUUAUGGGCAGG